UGCCGACGAGUGGCGAACGGGUGAGUAAUGCAUCGGAACGUACCUUCAGUGGGGAUAACGUAGCGAAAGUUACGCUAAUACCGCAUAUUCUGUGAGCAGGAAAGCAGGGGAUCGCAAGACCUUGUGCUGAUUGAGCGGCCGAUGUCAGAUUAGCUAGUUGGUGAGGUAAAGGCUCACCAAGGCGACGAUCUGUAGCGGGUCUGAGAGGAUGAUCCGCCACACUGGAACUGAGACACGGUCCAGACUCCUACGGGAGGCAGCAGUGGGGAAUUUUGGACAAUGGGGCAACCCUGAUCCAGCCAUGCCGCGUGAGUGAAGAAGGCCUUCGGGUUGUAAAGCUCUUUCGGCCGGAAGAAAUCGCAUGGGUUAAUACCCUGUGCGGAUGACGGUACCGGCAUAAGAAGCACCGGCUAACUACGUG
rnacentral:rRNA from 1 species